rnacentral:rRNA from 1 species
AACGAACGCUGGCGGCAGGCUUAACACAUGCAAGUCGAACGCCCCGCAAGGGGAGUGGCAGACGGGUGAGUAACGCGUGGGAAUCUACCCAGAUCUUCGGAACAACUGAGGGAAACUUCAGCUAGUACCGGAUACGCCCUACGGGGGAAAGAUUUAUCGGUUCUGGAUGAGCCCGCGUUGGAUUAGCUAGUUGGUGAGGUAACGGCUCACCAAGGCGACGAUCCAUAGCUGGUCUGAGAGGAUGAUCAGCCACACUGGGACUGAGACACGGCCCAGACUCCUACGGGAGGAAGCAGUGGGGAAUAUUGGACAAUGGGCGAAAGCCUGAUCCAGCCAUGCCGCGUGAGUGAUGAAGGCCUUAGGGUUGUAAAGCUCUUUCAGUAGGGAAGAUAAUGACGGUACCUACAGAAGAAGCCCCGGCUAACUUCGUGCCAGCCGCCGCAGUAAUAC